AUACGUAGGGAGCGAGCGUUGUCCGGAAUUACUGGGUGUAAAGGGUGCGUAGGCGGGACUGCAAGUCAGAUGUGAAAACUAUGGGCUCAACCCAUAGACUGCAUUUGAAACUGUUGUUCUUGAGUGAAGUAGAGGUAAGCGGAAUUCCUGGUGUAGCGGUGAAAUGCGUAGAUAUCAGGAGGAACAUCGGUGGCGAAGGCGGCUUACUGGGCUGUUACUGACGCUGAUGCUCGAAAGCGUGGGGAGCAAACAGGAUUAGAUACCCUGGUAGUCCACGCUGUAAACGAUGAUUACUAGGUGUGGGGGGACUGACCCCUUCCGUGCCGCAGUUAACACAAUAAGUAAUCCACCUGGGGAGUACGGCCGCAAGGUUGAAACUCAAAUGAAUUGACGGGG
rnacentral:rRNA from 1 species